rnacentral:rRNA from 1 species
UACGAAGGGGGCUAGCGUUGCUCGGAAUCACUGGGCGUAAAGGGUGCGUAGGCGGGUCUUUAAGUCAGGGGUGAAAUCCUGGAGCUCAACUCCAGAACUGCCUUUGAUACUGCGGUGCUUGAGGACUGGAGAGGAGACUGGAAUUCAUGGUGUAGCAGUGAAAUGCGUAGAGAUCAUGAGGAAGACCAGUGGCGAAGGCGGGUCUCUGGACAGUUCCUGACGCUGAGGCACGAAGGCCAGGGGAGCAAACGGG